rnacentral:misc_RNA from 1 species
GGACUACAAAUGUGCACGGUGAUGAGCUCAUCGUCACAACAACGAGUCCAUAUGAGCAGGCUGCAUUUGGAUCGAAAACUGAUUGGCGUGUGAGAGCAAUAUCAGCCACUAAUCUCUAUCUUCGUGUGAAUCAUAUUUACGUAAAUUCGGAAGAUAUAAAGGAAACUGGAUACACUUACAUCAUGCCAAAGAAUAUCUUGAAGAAAUUCAUCUGCAUUGCCGAUCUACGGACUCAAAUAGCUGGAUAUUUGUAUGGAAUAAGCCCCCCAGAUAAUCCUCAGGUUAAAGAAAUACGAUGUAUUGUAAUGCCACCCCAGUGGGGGACACAUCAGCAAGUUAAU